AUGACAUGGCACAAAUAUGGGAAAAGACCUGACAAGGAUGAUCAUGGGAGGCCGACGAUGGUACAUGCGUCUUGUGGCCAAGCAUGGAAGAGUUUCGAUCGAAUACAUCAUCAGAAAGUAGAAGAGGAAAAGCAUGUACGAAUCGCCAUCGGACUUGACGGGUUCAAUCCGUUUGGUAUGGUGUCAAAGACAUAUAGUUGUUGGCCCGUGUUUGUUGUUCCACUCAACCUCCCCCCAGGCGUCCUGAUGCAACGCAAGCACAUAUUCCUAUCGUUGAUAGUUCCAGGGCCCAAGUAUCCGGGGAAGAAUAUAAAUGUGUACAUGCAGCCACUGAUAGAUGACUUGAAAGAAGCUUGGGUGAAUGGGAUACAGACAUACGACGCUGUUAGCAAAAAAAACUUCACAAUGCAUGUUUGGUACCAGUACUCAUUGAAUGACCUACCGGCCUAUUCACUUUUCAUGGGGUGGUCUGUGCAUGGGAGGUUCCCAUGCCCAAGAUGCAAGGCGAGCCUUAAGUGUCGUUGGCUACAGCAUGGUGGCAAGUAUUCUUGCUUUGAUUUUCAUAGACAACAUUUGCGCCCUGACCAUCCAUUCAGACUAGACAAGAUGAACUUCAUGAAAGGUGAAGUUGUCGAACACUCGGCACCACCUGAGAUGACGGGUGAACAGAUUCGUGAUGAAUUAAAUGCUCUCCAGCCCGAUCCCAACCGUCCAGGGUAUUUCCUGGGAUAUAAUGAACUACACGCCUGGACUCACAAGCCAUGCUUCUGGGAUCUCCCCUACUUCCACCAGCUCGAGCUUCCCCAUAACAUUGAUGUAAUGCACACUGAAAAGAAUAUUGCCGAGGCCAUUUUUGGCACAUUGUUCAACAUUCCCAAGAUGACGAAGGAUAAUACUAAGUCCAGACUUGAUCUGAUGAAGCUAUGUGAUAGACCCAAACAAAACUUGCGGCAACCCGCGGGCCGGAAAAAUUGGACAAUGCCACGGGUUAGGUUUGUUCUUACAAGGGAACAAAAGAAGGAGAUACUCAUGUGGUUCAAAACUAUGUCGUUCCCUGAUGGGUAUGCAGCGAAUCUAAUGAGGGCAGUGAAUCUUGUUAAAUUGAAGCUCUGUGGGUUGAAGAGUCAUGAUUGGCACAUAUGGCUUGAGCGGUUAAUGCCUGUGAUGAUUCGAGGCUAUAUCCCUGAGGAUGAUUGGGAAGUAUUGGCAGAGCUUAGCUAUUUCUUCUGUGUUCUUUGUGCUAAAGAAGUAUCUCCUACCGUGAUAGAUGACAUGGAAAAACAGGCCCCCGAGUUGCUCUGCAAGCUAGAGAAGAUCUUUCCACCAGGCUUCUUUAAUCCGAUGGAACAUAUGAUUUUACACCUCCCUUCCGAGGUAAGAAUGGGUGGCCCUGUGCAGAACCGUUGGUGCUAUGUACUUGAGAGAAUGCAAAAGACUCUUCAAGCUAAAUGUAGAAAUAAACGUAGAAUUGAAGCAUCCUAG
rnacentral:rRNA from 1 species